rnacentral:rRNA from 1 species
GACGUAGGGCGCGAGCGUGUCCGGAUUUAUUGGGCGUAAAGAGCUCGUAGGCGGCUUGUCGCGUCGAAUGUGAAAACUCGGGGCUCAACUCCGAGCUUGCAUUCGAUACGGGCAGGCUAGAGUUCGGUAGGGGAGACUGGAAUUCCUGGUGUAGCGGUGAAAUGCGCAGAUAUCAGGAGGAACACCGGUGGCGAAGGCGGGUCUCUGGACAGAUACUGACGCUGAGGCGCGAAAGCGUGGGAAGCAAACAGG